UACGAAGGGGGCUAGCGUUGUUCGGAAUUACUGGGCGUAAAGCGCGCGCAGGCGGUCUUCCAAGUCAGUGGUGAAAGCCUGGAGCUCAACUCCAGAACUGCCAUUGAAACUGUUAGACUUGAGUACGAGAGAGGUGAGUGGAAUUCCCAGUGUAGAGGUGAAAUUCGUAGAUAUUGGGAGGAACACCAGUGGCGAAGGCGGCUCACUGGACCGGAACUGACGCUGAGGCGCGAAAGCGUGGGGAGCAAACGGG
rnacentral:rRNA from 1 species